rnacentral:rRNA from 1 species
ACUCAAAUGAAUUGACGGGGAGGCGCACAACCAGUGGAGCGUGUGGUUCAAUUCGAGACGAAGCGAAAAACCUCACCAGGGUUUGACAUGCUAGAGUUCUAGCUCAUUGAAAGAUGAGUAAUCCGCAAGGAGACUAGCACAGGUGUUGCAUGGCUGUCGUCAGCUCUAGGCGUGAGCUGUAGGCUUAAGUGCCUCAUAGAGCGCAACCCCUAUCCAAUGUUACAUUGUUCAUUGGAGACAGCCCCGAUAUUUCGGGGAGGAAGGAAGGUACGACGUCAAGUCAGCACGACCCUUAUACCCUGGGCUACACACACACUACAAUGGCGAAAAACAACGAGUCGCAAGCCGGCAACGGCAAGCUAAUCUCUGAAAUUUCGCCUCAGUUCAGAUUGGGGUCUGAAAUUCGACCCCAUGAAGUCGGAAUUGGUAGUAAUCGCGGAUCAGCAUGCCGCGGUGAAUACGUUCUCGCCUCUUGUACACACCGCCCGU